rnacentral:lncRNA from 1 species
UGUUAAAGAUUCAGCUUUUGGCGGAAGUCCUGGAUGGACGUGCAGAAAUGUCCUUGAUAGAUUUAAAGGGUGGAAGGAUUUGAACCAGGAACUGAGCACCUGCUCUGUUUCUUACUACAGCUUAGUGCAAAUGAUUGGAAGGAAUGCUACCUUAGACUUCUACUUCAGCACAUUCCAGGAACACUUGCUGUUGGCAUUGGCAUUCGAUGUCUCUGAUACUAUAGGCUACGCCAUAAAAGAAGUCAGUAUUGGUUAACAUUGGAACCAGUCAUCAGAAGAAU